AUAUAAGUUGAUAAUAUAAAAAAAUUAUACCUAAUAAAUCGAUUUAUAUUACAUUUUAAAUUAAAUAAUAUUCCAGGUAACUAACUCAUUAGGAAAGUUUUAAUCAUCUCUUUAAUUUUAUUGUAAAAAAAAAAAAAACUAAAAUCUUAAUGGAACGGAUCCUUAAGACCUUAAUGGGAUGAGAUAGGAAAGACCAAUCCCAGUUACACCCAUAAUCUAAUUCUAAGGUGAGUUGGUUUUAUCUUUCUUCCUUUUUUAAAAUUUUUAAUUUAUGUUUAUUGAUUUAUAAAAUUUUCAGUUUAUUGAUUUCAAUUUUUUUCCAAGUUAGUUUUAUAUUUCUCAAACGGUCAAACCUGAUCGAUGCCCGAUAUGGGCAAGUCUUAGUCUGAAAUUUUGAGGUAAACUAACUGACUGAUAUGGUGAUACUUGUCCGACUUGAGUGAGAGGCGAGAUAAGACCUUACACAAACCAUACCUGAUUCAUGAUUAGCCCGCCCUACCGAAGGACUGAAGAUUCAUGAAUCAAACAAUCAAGUUUGUGAGUCUAAAUUCCUUCCUAGUAAAUAAUUUUGAUUUUUAGGUAGAAAAGGACGUGAAUAUAUAUAUAGGGAAAAUAUCUGGAACGGACGUGCCGUUCCAGACGGCCACCAGAACAGUUCCGCGAUGGGUGCCGGAACUGUUCCAGACGUGAACCCAUCCGGUGGCGGUGAACCCAUCCGGU
rnacentral:lncRNA from 1 species